CCAAAAUGCAUUCCUUAAAAUUAGGGAAAUUGAAGAAACACAUCUCGGAAUGGGGCACACAGAAUUUUCCAACCUCGCUUGUCCAUCUAUCUUUAUACGGAAGGUCAUCUGCAAAAGAUGUGAGUAGUUGUAGUCAGUUUUCACGUCUACUUCCUUCUUCUCUUAUUUAUCUUUUCAUUGUUGAAUUUGAGAAAUUUGAAUCAUUUUCAAUGGGACUCCAACAUCUUUCUUUUGACAAAUUGUCCUACUCUCAAUAAAUUGUCCCAUCCUCAACACCUCAACUCCCUCCAUCAUCUCACUUUUUUCAAAUGCCCAAACAUGAUGAAUCUACCAGAAGCGUUGUUGCCUUCACUUUUGAGUUUAAGAACCUUCUAUUGCCAAAAACUGAAAGAAAGAUUCGGUAAAAGAGGUUGUUAUCUCUCCCAUAUCCCCUGUGUCGACAUAUGAAGGUUUGAACAUGAGUGAUGCAAAGAUUUGAUACAAAAUUCUGAAUUUGAUGCAUGAACUUCCAUACGCUCAUAACAGAGAUAAAAACAUAACAGAACAGGGGAAAAGAAGCAGCUGAGAAGUUAUAAAAGAAGCUGAACAAUCUGCGAUUGAAGGCGUUUGAUGUAAAAUAUAAUGCAUUUUGAUGCACAACUAUAUGGGUAUAAUGCAUGGUUGUAGUGCAGCUUAUGUGUAUGAGUCAAAUCCGUUCAGCAUAUUCAUUAGACAUAUGGGUCAAACGAAGCUGUAGUAGUGCAGUUUUAUGUUUUAAGUUUCAGACAUCUGCAUUAAAUGUCGUAGUUAUGUUUGACGAAAAGAAAUAUUUGUUUGCAAUA